rnacentral:rRNA from 1 species
GUAGCUGGUCUGAGAGGAUGGCCAGCCACACUGGAACUGAGACACGGUCCAGACUCCUACGGGAGGCAGCAGUGGGGAAUAUUGGACAAUGGGGGCAACCCUGAUCCAGCAAUGCCGCGUGUGUGAAGAAGGCCUGAGGGUUGUAAAGCACUUUCAGUGGGGAGGAGGGWUGAUWGGUUAAGAGCURAUUAAUUGGACGUUACCCACAGAAGAAGCACCGGCUAACUCCGUGCCAGCAGCCGCGGUAAUACGGAGGGUGCGAGCGUUAAUCGGAAUUACUGGGCGUAAAGGGUGCGUAGGUGGUUUAUUAAGUUAUGUGUAAAAUCCCUGGGCUUAACCUGGGCAGGUCAUAUAAUACUGGUUAACUCGAGUAUGG